UACGAAGGGGGCUAGCGUUGUUCGGAAUCACUGGGCGUAAAGCGCACGUAGGCGGAUUUGCCAGUCAGGGGUGAAAUCCCCGGGGCUCAACCUCGGAACGUGCCUUUGAUACAGCAAGUCUUGAGUUCGAGAGAGGUGGGUGGAAUUCCUAGUGUAGAGGUGAAAUUCGUAGAUAUUAGGAAGAACACCGGUGGCGAAGGCGGCCCACUGGCUCGACACUGACGCUGAGGUGCGAAAAGCGUGGG
rnacentral:rRNA from 1 species